rnacentral:lncRNA from 1 species
GGAGUAGCCAGGCUCUCGGCACAGGUGGCCCCAAAUCUUAAAAACUCCCUGCUUUUCUGUGGUGUAGAAUCAGGAGUCAGGCAAGAAGUGGUUAAAUGGAAACAUUCUUGCGAAUUGGGAAACAUAAGUUUUCCAGGAUCUCUGGUCCCUUCCCCCAACACAGGCACCAUCUGUCUCCUUCUAUUCAACUCUCCCUACGACGUUUCGCCCACCCUCCACCCUUCCCCACCAUUUGGAAAUGUAGCUGGCUCCCCUCAGGGUCCCUAAAAUUAGGAGCGCUGUGGAUCCGCUUUCCUGGGAGGACUUCCAGAGGGUGUCAGGGAAAACACUUUGUAAAAGUAAUAGUAAUGCCAUUGUUAUUGUUAGCUAAAUUGAGGACUUACUUGUGACAGGCUGUGGCUAGCAGCUUCACAGGCUUUCUUUCCUGUGAUA